rnacentral:rRNA from 1 species
GACGAACGCUGGCGGCGUGCCUAAUACAUGCAAGUAGAACGCAGUUGCGAACGGGUGAGUAACGCGUGGUUAACUGCCUGGUAGCGGGGGAUAACUAUUGGAAACGAUAGCUCAUACCGCAUACUACCAGAUGGACCUGCGUUGUAUUAGCUAGUUGGUGGGGUAACGGCUCACCAAGGCAACGAUACCUAGCCGACCGGAGAGGGUGUGCGGCACCACGGGGAAGGAGACACGGCCCAGACGCCUACGGGAGGCAGCAGUAGGGAAUCUUCGGCAAUGGGGGGAAACCUGACCGAGCAAAGCCGCGUGAGUGAAGAAGGUUUUCGGAUCGGAAAGCUCUGUUGUUAAGGAAGCGGUACUUAACCAGAAAGGGACGGCUAACUACGUGCCAGCAGCCGCGGUAAUUC